rnacentral:rRNA from 1 species
UACAGAGGUCUCAAGCGUUGUUCGGAUUCAUUGGGCGUAAAGGGUGCGUAGGCGGUCUGUCGCGUCGGCUGUGAAAUCCCGAGGCUCAACCUCGGGUCUGCAGUCGAUACGGGCAAACUAGAGUAUUGCAGGGGAGACUGGAAUUCCUGGUGUAGCAGUGAAAUGCGUAGAUAUCAGGAGGAACACCGAUGGCGAAGGCAGGUCUCUGGGCUGACACUGACGCUCAUGCACGAAAGCGUGGGGAGCGAUCCGG